GACGAACGCUGGCGGCGUGCCUAAUACAUGCAAGUCGAGCGAAGUUUUUCUGGUUCUUGCACUAGCACCACUUAGCGGCGGACGAGUGAGUCACACGUAACGAACCUUCCUCAUUGACUUGGACUACUAUUGGAAACGAUAGCUCAUACCGGAUAACAGUAUUUCUCGCAUGAGAGAUGUUUAAUAGUUGGUUAUGCUAACACUAUGAGAUGUCUUUGCGGUGCAUUAGCUAGUUGGUGGGGUAAAGGCUCACCAAGGCGACGAUGCAUAGCCGACGGGAGAGGGGGAUAGGCCGCCCUGGGACGGAGACAGGGACCAGACUCCUGCGGGAGGGAGCAGUAGGGAAUCUGAGGCAAUGGGCGAGAGCAUGACGGAGCAAGGCCGAGUGAGAGAAGAAGGAGUUCGGUUCGGAAAGAUCGGUUGUGAGGGAAGAACGGAUAUGGAGUAAGAAGACAUGUAAGAGACGGUACCGAAUCAGAAAGCAACGGCUAACUACGUG
rnacentral:rRNA from 1 species